UUUGGAUAAAGGCCUCAAAUUGAAUGUGAAAAUGCUGAAAACUUCGUCCAAUUCGCAAAAUGGCCACAAUCCUAGAUUAAAGAUCAGGAACUCUGUGUAAGGACAUUGAAGCUUGUGACCUUGCAUCGUUCUUCCUGCGACAUUU
rfam:Drosophila ficusphila unplaced genomic scaffold scf7180000453929, whole genome shotgun sequence